GACAGAGGAGCCAAGCGUUGUCCGGAUUUACUGGGCGUAAAGCGCAUGCAGGCGGAUGCGCGCGUGGGGUGUGAAAUCUGGCCGCUUAACGGCCAGGCGCCAUCCCAUACGGCGCGUCUGGAGUGAUGCAGAGGUCGAUGGAAUUGCCGGUGUAGUGGUGAAAUGCGUAGAGAUCGGCAGGAACACCCAGGGGGAAACCAGUCGACUGGGCAUCUACUGACGCUGAGGUGCGAGAGCGUGGGGAGCGAACAGG
rnacentral:rRNA from 1 species